GGAAGCGGAAGUGGCGCGCUGGCGGCGGGCUCUGGCGGCUCAAGCGAUGCUCUCCCUGGACUUUCUGGACGAUGUGCGGCGCAUGAACAAGCGGCAGCUGUAUUAUCAGGUGCUGAACUUUGGGAUGAUUGUCUCCUCAGCUUUAAUGAUCUGGAAGGGGCUAAUGGUGGUUACAGGAAGUGAAAGUCCCAUUGUAGUGGUACUCAGUGGCAGCAUGGAACCUGCUUUUCACAGAGGAGAUCUUCUGUUCUUAACCAACCGAAUCGAAGAUCCCAUCAGGGUGGGAGAAAUUGUGGUCUUUAGGAUAGAAGGAAGGGAAAUUCCAAUAGUUCAUAGAGUCUUGAAAAUUCAUGAAAAGCAAAAUGGAGACAUCAAAUUUUUGACAAAGGGAGACAAUAAUGCCGUUGAUGACAGAGGGCUAUACAAACAAGGGCAGCACUGGCUGGAGAAGAAAGACGUGGUGGGGCGAGCAAGAGGUGAAGUAGGAACAGAAAAACAGGAAAAUGAGUGAAAGCAGUGAAGCAAUUGCGAAGUUGGAGCUUUUUAGGCUGCAAGUUGCAGAAAAGGAGAGGGAGCACCAGAGAUUAUUGCAACUGAAAGAACUGGAGAUAAAAGAAAAAAGAGAGGCAGCAAGCUCAGGAGGAAAAGCAAAAAGAGAGGCAUCUAGCCCUGGAGUUAAAAGACAAAGAAAUUGAGGCCCAGAGACAAGCCAGAAUUGAGACCCAGAAGCAUGAACUGUCUGUAAUGGAGUGGAAGAGACAAAACUCUUCAGCAGCUGGCUCCACUUCCCCAAAAAUCCACAAAUGGGAACGGUUAGGCCUGCAAUAUGAUGAAUCCAGUGAUAUUGCUGAAUAUUUCAUCACCUUUGAGAGACUGUGCACUCUCCAUGCGAUUCCUGAGGAUCAAAAAAUGACUACUUUGAUUGCAAAAUUGACUGGGAGAGCUCGGGACAUAUUCAAUUUGUCCCCUACAUUGGAAUUGUGACUAUUUUAAUGAACGAUUACCCCAAAUUUAAG